rnacentral:rRNA from 1 species
UACGGAGGGUGCAAGCGUUUAUCCGGAUUCACUGGGUUUAAAGGGUGCGUAGGUGGGCAGUUAAGUCAGUGGUGAAAUCUCCGGGCUCAACCCGGAAACUGCCAUUGAUACUAUCUGUCUUGAAUAUCGUGGAGGUAAGCGGAAUAUGUCAUGUAGCGGUGAAAUGCUUAGAUAUGCAUAGAACACCAAUUGCGAAGGCAGCUUACUACCCGAAUAUUGACACUGAGGCACGAAAGCGUGGGGAUCAAACAGG